UACGUAGGGUGCAAGCGUUGUCCGGAAUUAUUGGGCGUAAAGAGCUCGUAGGCGGUUUGUCGCGUCUGCUGUGAAAACCUAAGGCUCAACCUUGGGCUUGCAGUGGGUACGGGCAGACUAGAGUGCGGUAGGGGUGACUGGAAUUCCUGGUGUAGCGGUGGAAUGCGCAGAUAUCAGGAGGAACACCGAUGGCGAAAGCGGACUCACUGGAC
rnacentral:rRNA from 1 species